GAUGAACGCUGGCGGCGUGCCUAAUACAUGCAAGUCGAGCGAACGGACGAGAAGCUUGCUUUUCUGAUGUUAGAGGCGGACGGGUGAGUAACACGUGGAUAACCUACCUAUAAGACUGGGAUAACUUCGGGAAACCGGAGCUAAUACCGGAUAAUAUUUUGAACCGCAUGGUUCAAAAGUGAAAGACGGUCUUUCUGUCACUUAUAGAUGGAUCCGCGCUGCAUUAGCUAGUUGGUAAGGUAACGGCUUACCAAGGCAACGAUGCAUAGACGACCUGAAAGGGUCAUUGGCCAGACUGGAACUGAGACACGGCACAGACUCCUACGGGAGGAAACAGUAGGGAAUCUUCCGCAAGGGGGGAAAGCCUGACGGAGCAACGUCGCGUGAGGGAUGAAGGUCUUCGGAUCGUAAAACUCUGUUAUUAGGGAAGAACAAAUGUGUAAGUAACUGGGCACAUCUUGACGGUACCUAAUCAGAAAGCCACGGCUAACUACGUG
rnacentral:rRNA from 1 species